ACCUCCGUGGUGUAAUAGUGAGCACCCUGGACUCUGAAUCCAGUGAUAGAGUUAAAAUCUCGGUGGGA
rnacentral:tRNA from 1 species